CAGCCGCCGCGGGAAUACAGAGGGUGCAAGCGUUAAUCGGAAUUACUGGGCGUAAAGCGCGCGUAGGCGGCUUUUUAAGUCGGAUGUGAAAUCCCUGAGCUUAACUUAGGAAUUGCAUUCGAUACUGGGAAGCUAGAGUAUGGGAGAGGAUGGUAGAAUUCCAGGUGUAGCGGUGAAAUGCGUAGAGAUCUGGAGGAAUACCGAUGGCGAAGGCAGCCAUCUGGCCUAAUACUGACGCUGAGGUACGAAAGCAUGGGGAGCAAACAGGAUUAGAUACCCCUGUAGUCCCUGUCUCUUAUAC
rnacentral:rRNA from 1 species